rnacentral:miRNA from 8 species
AUGUGAAAUUACCAGUAUUUGU